GGAUGUGAGGUCAAUCUGGCUGCAACAUCUGUCUCCUCAUUGAUUGCCAGGCUUGACUCAGUUGAUCUGGUUGGUUAGGCAGGUGUCUCCUUCCUCCCUCUCUGCUCCAUGUGCAUCCCUCCUGAAGCUGCUGUGCAUGGUGGAAGAGGACGAUCUUCCUGAUAGAGGAGGACCAUUCUUUGGUCAAGGGUAUAUGAGUAGCUGUGCCCACCUGCUAGAACCUCCAAACUAACUCAAGAAAAGAGACAUGGAGCUGGACCUUAAAGAAGAAACAUG
rnacentral:snRNA from 1 species